UCGCCUGUUUAUCAAAAACAUGGCCUAUUGUAAUUUAUUUUAGGUUUAGCCUGCUCUAUGAGUAUUUAAAUGGCCGCGGUAUUUUGACCGUGCUAAGGUAGCAUAAUCAUUAGUUUCUUAAUUAGAAGCUGGAAUGAAUGGUUGGAUGAGAAAAUUUCUGUCUCUGAUUAAUAUUAUUAGAAUUUUAUUUUUUAGUGAAAAAGCUAAAAUUUAUUUGAAAGACGAGAAGACCCUAUAGAGUUUAAUAUAAAAAAAUCUCUAAAAAUAGCUUAGGAUAGAUAGUUUUAAUUUUUUUUUAUAUUUAAUUGGGGUGAUUGAUAAAUUAAAUUAACUUUUUUUAUAUUUUUUACAUUGAUUUAUG
rnacentral:rRNA from 1 species